UUUCUUCUUCAUUGGUUACUUCAAGCUAUCUUUUCUUCCUCUAUCCUUCUUCUUCGGGUUUUUUUUUCCUUCUUAUUCAUCCCAAUCGAAUAAGCCACUGGAUCUCGUCUUUCCCAAACUCCUCCAUUUUGCACUCUGUAACUCAAUCAUCGUCGUCUCCACCAAGCCCUAAACCUCGAUCUCUCCUUGAACGACGAUUACGUCUCAUAAUCAUCUCUGCAAGACCUCGCAAACCCCUCAAUUUCAGUCCUUCAUGCGUCUCCUCAGAUUCCAAGUCCCCUGAUUCGAUAAAGGAGAGACGGAUGCAGCAGAGGCAACCAGUAGUCAUGGCUGAACAUCCUCGUCUCUCUCUUGCAGACUGGGAAAGCUUUUCUUAAGCAACCCAAGGUCUUCCUAAGCUAGAAGAAAUCUGGGAAAGGAAAGAGACUUGUUAAAGGUGGAAACCGUUUCUGGAAGAACAUUGGUUUGGGUGUUCAGACUCCAUUGAAGGUCGUCAAUUAGGUAUCUCAAAUUAGGCCUUAAAUUCCUCUACUUUCAGUUUUGAUGACCAAGUCUAAGACUCUUUUGAUUGCUUGAAAGUGUGUGUGGACUGUGGUGUUCAUUGGCAUGAUUCUAUGAGUUGUGAAGAGUUUCAGAUUCUUCCGGUUGAUGAAAGAUAUCCAGAUGAUAUCACAUUGCAUCGCUUGGCUAGGUGUGGACAUGAGUUUUGCUACUGUUACGGAGCAGAGUACAGACAAGGACAACAUAGUUGCACUUGUGACACAUUCAACUCAGAGCAAGAAACCGUCUCAGCUAGCUCUGAUCCAACGGUUCUUAGUGGGUGGUGGGUUUAGUCUCAGUGAUCACCAUACUUCUUAUCAGUCGCCGCAGCCUCCAUGUAGAGAGUCAUCGUAUGUUUAAGCAGCCAUGAAAAUCUUCACCAGCUUUCUUGCCUUGAAAGGAGGACGGGAUGGAAUCGGAUCUAGAGAAGCUCUUUAUUGGUUGGAUUUCAAGGACGCAUGAAGAAAAGUUUAAACCGGUUGUGAUGUUAGAACCAAUGUUAAAACAUGUUAUAAUUUUGUAAAUGAAUUUCGAGUUAUAAAAUAUUUUUUGUUUAUUUG